ACUAAGCGUACACGGUGGAUGCCCUGGCAGUCAGAGGCGAUGAAGGACGUGCUAAUCUGCGAAAAGCGCCGGCGAGGUGAUAUGAACCUUUGACCCGGCGAUGUCCGAAUGGGGAAACCCAGUGUGAUUCGUCACACUAUCGUUAACUGAAUACAUAGGUUAACGAGGCGAACCGGGGGAACUGAAACAUCUAAGUACCCCGAGGAAAAGAAAUCAACCGAGAUUCCCCCAGUAGCGGCGAGCGAACGGGGAGCAGCCCAGAGUCUGAAUCAGCUUGUGUGUUAGUGGAACGGUCUGGAAAGUCCGACGGUACAGGGUGAUAGUCCCGUACACGAAAAUGCACAGGUUGUGAACUCGAAGAGUAGGGCGGGACACGUGGUAUCCUGUCUGAAUAUGGGGGGACCAUCCUCCAAGGCUAAAUACUCCUGACUGACCGAUAGUGAACCAGUACCGUGAGGGAAAGGCGAAAAGAACCCCGGCGAGGGGAGUGAAAAAGAACCUGAAACCGUGUACGUACAAGCAGUGGGAGCACCUUCGGGUGUGACUGCGUACCUUUUGUAUAAUGGGUCAGCGACUUAUAUUCUGUAGCAAGGUUAACCGUAUAGGGGAGCCGAAGGGAAACCGAGUCUUAACUGGGCGUUAAGUUGCAGGGUAUAGACCCGAAACCCGGUGAUCUAGCCAUGGGCAGGUUGAAGGUUGGGUAACACUAACUGGAGGACCGAACCGACUAAUGUUGAAAAAUUAGCGGAUGACUUGUGGCUGGGGGUGAAAGGCCAAUCAAACCGGGAGAUAGCUGGUUCUCCCCGAAAGCUAUUUAGGUAGCGCCUCGUGAACUCAUCUUCGGGGUAGAGCACUGUUUCGGCUAGGGGGCCAUCCCGGCUUACCAACCCGAUGCAAACUACGAAUACCGAAGAAUGUUAUCACGGGAGACACACGGCGGGUGCUAACGUCCGUCGUGAAGAGGGAAACAACCCAGACCGCCAGCUAAGGUCCCAAAGUCAUGGUUAAGUGGGAAACGAUGUGGGAAGGCCCAGACAGCCAGGAUGUUGGCUUAGAAGCAGCCAUCAUUUAAAGAAAGCGUAAUAGCUCACUGGUCGAGUCGGCCUGCGCGGAAGAUGUAACGGGGCUAAACCAUGCACCGAAGCUGCGGCAGCGACACUAUGUGUUGUUGGGUAGGGGAGCGUUCUGUAAGCCGUUGAAGGUGGCCUGUGAGGGUUGCUGGAGGUAUCAGAAGUGCGAAUGCUGACAUAAGUAACGAUAAAGCGGGUGAAAAGCCCGCUCGCCGGAAGACCAAGGGUUCCUGUCCAACGUUAAUCGGGGCAGGGUGAGUCGACCCCUAAGGCGAGGCCGAAAGGCGUAGUCGAUGGGAAACAGGUUAAUAUUCCUGUACUUGGUGUUACUGCGAAGGGGGGACGGAGAAGGCUAUGUUAGCCGGGCGACGGUUGUCCCGGUUUAAGCAUGUAGGCGGAACGAUUAGGUAAAUCCGGUCGUUUUUUAACGCUGAGGUGUGAUGACGAGGCACUACGGUGCUGAAGUAACAAAUGCCCUGCUUCCAGGAAAAGCCUCUAAGCAUCAGGUAACAUCAAAUCGUACCCCAAACCGACACAGGUGGUCAGGUAGAGAAUACCAAGGCGCUUGAGAGAACUCGGGUGAAGGAACUAGGCAAAAUGGUGCCGUAACUUCGGGAGAAGGCACGCUGAUAUGUAGGUGAAGCCCCUGCGGGUGGAGCUGAAAUCAGUCGAAGAUACCAGCUGGCUGCAACUGUUUAUUAAAAACACAGCACUGUGCAAACACGAAAGUGGACGUAUACGGUGUGACGCCUGCCCGGUGCCGGAAGGUUAAUUGAUGGGGUUAGCGGUAACGCGAAGCUCUUGAUCGAAGCCCCGGUAAACGGCGGCCGUAACUAUAACGGUCCUAAGGUAGCGAAAUUCCUUGUCGGGUAAGUUCCGACCUGCACGAAUGGCGUAAUGAUGGCCAGGCUGUCUCCACCCGAGACUCAGUGAAAUUGAACUCGCUGUGAAGAUGCAGUGUACCCGCGGCAAGACGGAAAGACCCCGUGAACCUUUACUAUAGCUUGACACUGAACACUGGUCCUUGAUGUGUAGGAUAGGUGGGAGGCUUUGAAGUGUGGACGCCAGUCUGCAUGGAGCCGUCCUUGAAAUACCACCCUUUAAUGGCUGGUGUUCUAACGUAGACCCGUAAUCCGGGUUGCGGACAGUGUCUGGUGGGUAGUUUGACUGGGGCGGUCUCCUCCCAAAGAGUAACGGAGGAGCACGAAGGUUAGCUAAUCCUGGUCGGACAUCAGGAGGUUAGUGCAAUGGCAUAAGCUAGCUUGACUGCGAGAGUGACGGCUCGAGCAGGUGCGAAAGCAGGUCAUAGUGAUCCGGUGGUUCUGAAUGGAAGGGCCAUCGCUCAACGGAUAAAAGGUACUCCGGGGAUAACAGGCUGAUACCGCCCAAGAGUUCAUAUCGACGGCGGUGUUUGGCACCUCGAUGUCGGCUCAUCACAUCCUGGGGCUGAAGUAGGUCCCAAGGGUAUGGCUGUUCGCCAUUUAAAGUGGUACGCGAGCUGGGUUUAGAACGUCGUGAGACAGUUCGGUCCCUAUCUGCCGUGGGCGCUGGAGAAUUGAGGGGGGCUGCUCCUAGUACGAGAGGACCGGAGUGGACGCAUCACUGGUGUUCGGGUUGUCAUGCCAAUGGCACUGCCCGGUAGCUAAAUGCGGAAGAGAUAAGUGCUGAAAGCAUCUAAGCACGAAACUUGCCCCGAGAUGAGUUCUCCCUGAGCCUUUAAGGCUCCUGAAGGAACGUUGAAGACGACGACGUUGAUAGGUCGGGUGUGUAAGCGCAGCGAUGCGUUGAGCUAACCGAUACUAAUGAACCGUGAGGCUUAACC
rnacentral:rRNA from 1 species